AGGCCUACCAUGGUGGUAACGGGUAACGGGGUGUUAGGGCACGACACCGGAGAGGGAGCCUGAGAAACGGCUACCACAUCCAAGGAUGGCAGCAGGCGCGCAAAUUACCCAAUCCCGACACGGGGAGGUAGUGACAAUAAAUAACAAUACGGGGCUCUUUAGGGUCUCGUAAUUGGAAUGAGUACAAUUUAAAUCUCUUAACGAGGAACAAUUGGAGGGCAAGUCUGGUGCCAGCAGCCGCGGUAAUUCCAGCUCCAAUAGCGUAUAUUAAAGUUGUUGCAGUUAAAAAGCUCGUAGUUGAAUUUCGGGAUCAGCAGGUUGGUCGUGCCUCUGGUAUGCACUGGUUUCGCUGAUUCCUCCUUUCUGAAGAACUGUAAUGUCAUUAAUUUGGUGUUGCAGGGAAACAGGACUGUUACUUUGAAAAAAUUAGAGUGUUUAAAGCAAGCUAACGCUUGAAUACAUUAGCAUGGAAUAAUGAAAUAGGACGUUUGAUCCUAUUUUGUUGGUUUCUAGGAUUGACGUAAUGAUUAAUAGGGAUAGUUGGGGGCAUUAGUAUUCAAUUGUCAGAGGUGAAAUUCUUGGAUUUAUUGAAGACUAACUACUGCGAAAGCAUUUGCCAAGGAUGUUUUCAUUAAUCAAGAACGAAAGUUAGGGGAUCGAAGACGAUCAGAUACCGUCGUAGUCUUAACCAUAAACUAUGCCGACUAGGGAUCGGAUGAUGUUAAUUUUUUAAUGACUCAUUCGGCGCCU
rnacentral:rRNA from 1 species